rnacentral:lncRNA from 1 species
AUCCAAAAAUUGAAUCACACGCAUAUUUUUCAAGGAAUCAAACAGAAAAAACACACCGAAGGUUGAUCUCCGAUUUUAUUCUCUUUAUUUUCGUUUUUCGUUUUCUUGCUUCUUUAAUAUUUCUUUUAUUUUUUAUACAAAUCUAAUUAAACAAAGAUACACAAAAAAAAAACGCAAAUAAAAGGAAAGAGGAGGGAUUCUCACCAGAUCCGGCCCCGUCGCCGCGUCGUCGGAGCCCUCCCCUCCAUUCGGCGUGGUUGAGUCAAAAAGGGGGGAUCGAUUGUAUUUUGAAAAAAAAAACAUUUGUAAAUAAGGGGCAUUU